AUAUCAAUAAGCGGAGGAAAAGAAACUAACAAGGGUUCCCCUAGUAACGGCGAGUGAACAGGGAAGAGCUCAAAUUUGUAAUCUGGCUCCCUUUGGGUGUCCGAGUUGUAAUCUAUAGAAGCGUUUUCCGUGCUGGACCAUGUCCAAGUCCCUUGGAACAGGGUAUCAGAGGGUGACAAUCCCGUGCUUGACAUGACGACCAGUGCUCUGUGAUACGCUCUCUACGAGUCGAGUUGUUUGGGAAUGCAGCUCAAAAUGGGUGGUGAGUUCCAUCUAAAGCUAAAUAUUGGCGAGAGACCGAUAGCGAACAAGUACCGUGAGGGAAAGAUGAAAAGCACUUUGGAAAGAGAGUUAAACAGUAC
rnacentral:rRNA from 1 species